GGUUCUUCUUUCACUAUUUUGAAAUUUGAUCUCCCGCUUACCAAGAAUUACCAAGAAAAGAAAGUAAUUUGCUCUCCCGAAUUCCGAGCCACUGCGGUUAGGCACUUAGGCGGCGAAAAGACAUCUAACCUUGCAGGUCCUUUUCUUUUAUGGUUACUUACCAUUGCAGGUCUCCAUCAUCACCUCGUCACUUCACUCUCUUCCCGACACUUCUGUUGAGAAAUCGCCCAAAAGAGUUGCAGAUAUGUGCUGUCUGGUCUUCUCUCUCUUUUGUCAUUCUUUGAAGUGUGUUCUUGAUAUAUUCAAUGGCGUUCACAAAUUUUUCUGUCUGGUCUUCUCUUUCUCUUCUGUCAUUCUUUGAAGUGUGUUCUUGAUCUAUUCAAUGGCGUUCACAAAAUUUUCUGCCUGGUCUUCUCUUUCUCUUCUGUCAUACUUUUUGUAUAAUAAAACCCUAAGUGUUAUUGGUUUCUAGGUCUACAUCGUCCGUCGGUGGAGUUUCUUCCCGCUCUGUUGCAAGACCACCCGACCACUCGGCAGUAGUAAACCAUUGUACUAACAAAAGUAGGUUAAAUCUUUUUUUGGCCGAAUCACACACUUUUAGAAAUUCAAGAAGUGAAGUCCAAGUGCAAGAUAACGUGGCGAUCUCAAGAGAUAUUCAAGAAAUCGUUUCAAUGCUCUCAUCAGAUAAGGCCAAAUCUCUGGGAAGUAUGUUAAUGCUUUAUUUAUUGGCGCUUAUGAUUUUUCUGUUGUGUCUUUGUUUUUUCUUGUUUUCCGCUUGUUUCAAAAUUUCUUCCAUAAAGGUGUUGAAUAAUUGGUUGGAAGGGGAGAGAUCGUUUGACUAAAUCAAGAUUUUAAGCCAGAACACUGCAAAUCUGAGCAUAAUGCAAGCUUACAGAGCGAUUCUAAAGUAAAAACCGCUAUGAUCUCUAGCUUCAUUUGAGAAGCUUGUCUUGCAGAAUUCUAUGGCUGAUAACAAUAGGUUUCACAUAGCAGGUUUGCAUUGUUAUUUUUGAAACCCAAACGUGGGAUGGAGAGAUUGAUAUUGAUGAAUGAAGCACUGCUUGAACAAUGGGCUGCUUGAACAAUGGGCUGCUAACAGGACUGGAUGUUUCAGUAUGGAUCAACAACCAGAGGUUGCCAGGAGAUCAGAUUAUGUACUGCAUGUUAACCUGGAUUUUGUCCCACCCAAUAUUAUCCGCAUCCGGUUAUCAAUAAACAAAAAAUUGAAUAAUUAAUAGUGUUUCUGGUCUACGGUCAGACUAAGAAACUACUUUGCCUGUCCCAACUAUGUUGGUGAAGUUGUGAACAAUGAAUGUAUUUUUUGCAAUAUUUUCCAUCUCAUGCAAGCAAAAUCGUGUUCCUUAUCACAUGAUAACAUAUAUAAUCGUUCUUUCAAUUGAAAUAAUUUUUUUUACCAAUAUUUGUUCUUGACUUUCGGCAGGUCUCCAUCAUCAUCUCGUCACUUCACUCUCUUCCCGACACUUCUGUUGCGAAAUGGCUCAAAAGAGUUGCAGAUAUGUGUUCUGUCUGGUCUUCUCUUUCUUUUUUGUCAUACUUUGAAGUGUGUUCUUGAUCUAUUCAAUGGCGGUUUCAAGUUUUUCUUUCUGGUCUUCUCUCUCUUUUGUCAUACUUUUUGUAUAAUAAAACCCUUAGUGUUUUUGGUUUCCAGGUCUACAUCUUCGGUCGGUUGAGUUUCUUCCCGCAGAUAUGUAUUCUGUCUGGUCUUCUUUUUCUUUUUUUGGCAUACUUUGAAGUCUACAUCGUCAGUCGGUUGAGUUUCUUCCCGCUACCUCCUUCUGUUGAAAGACCACUCGAGAGUAGUAAACCAAUGUACUAACAAAAGUAGGUUAAAUCUCUUUUUGGCCGAAUCACUUACUUCUAGAAAUUCAAGAACUGAAGUCCAAGUGGAAGAUAAAAUGCCGACCUCAAGAGAUAUUCAAGAAAUCGUUUCGAUGCUUUCAUCAUCAGAUGAGGCCAAAUCUCUGGGAAAGCCUUUUCUAGGAAGAAAGGAAGGAGUAAUGUUACUUGGAUGACCUUGUAAAUGUAAUCACUCCUAAGGGCAGAGCUUCAGAGAUAUCCACAAGCAAAGGGCGACUGCCAAAGUUGCUUUCUCCAAAAACCCUUCGAAUUGACAUCCAACGAGCAGAGGCUGCAAGUUUCCGGAACUCUCUUCUGAGCUGCUUCUCCAAGCAAGUUUGGAUACUCUACAGUGUGCAUCUCUCUCCACUAUCAAGCUUGAUACUAGCUAGCAUAUGACCUGGACCUGUUUGAUGCAUGCACUACCCAUAUUCAGUGACGUGACUUCAGUUUAUCUGGAGGAGGACAGAGAAAAUCAGGUGUAUACAUGAAAACCAAAUUACAAAAGGUGCUUCAAAGGGAAAAAUGUGAAAAACAAGGAAGAGCUCCUGAGAUAAUGGUUGGUUCACAUGGAAGAGGUGAAAGCUGAUACAUAUGUCACAUAUUACGUUGAUUUCUUUGAUUGGCCAUUAUUGGAAGGAAAAUUUCAUAUAACUGAAAAAACCGUACAAAUAAAAUGGAGAAGAAGGAGAUGGCAAGGGGGAGAAAGGGGAGGUGGAGAGGUGGAAUUUUUGCCCCUAUGUUUCCAUUCUCUAAUUCCUUCUAAUUGGUUUCACAUGUCGCAUUGCAUCGAAGAGAUGAGUACCAUUGCUUCCCUUUCAGAAGUUUAAUUCUAUUUAGCUUCUUUUUUUCUUUCUUUGAUUCUAAUGCAAAGAUUCAUGUUGCAGGGUGUUUAGAGGUAUUCUUAUGCAAAGAUCUAUAUUGAAGGGUGUUAAGUGUUCAAUACUGUGAACGAUUUCUAGCACAUGCAACAGGGUGUUUAGAGAAAUGAAAUGGAUUGGAAUUUGGCCACUAUUCGGAGAAGUUAUAUGAUCCAACAGAAAGCAAUAAUGAAUGGCGAAGGUAGACAUAGAGAGUUUAAUGAUUCUAGAAUAAAACAAAAGCUUCUUCGCAAAGCUGAGGAGCAAGUUGAAUCCAAGCUAGGUUUUGAUCUAUUUCUGAUGGCAAAAAAGAAGCUUGGAUGGUUGUUCACUCUUGCAACUCUGUGCUAGGUACAACUAGUAUCCGCUUAUUUCUAUGACGUCACGAAGUUAUAAAUUGUGUGGGACGUGUUCAUUCUUUUUGGACUUAAAGGCGUUCCAGGUGCCUGUAUGGUAUGUGCCUGUCUACCAAAUGUGUUGAGAAAUGAGCAUGAUAGUGGUAGAAACAAAACGGAUUGGAAUGUGGCUGCUAUUCAAAGAAGUUAUACGAUCCAACAUGAAGCAACAAUGAAUGUUGAAGGUAGACAUAGGGAGUUCUAUGAUUCUAUAAUAAAACAAAAGCUUAUCUAUGAUCAAUUUUUUGAAGACAAAAAAGAGGCUUGGAUGCUUUUUCACUCUUGCAACUGUCAGUGGUUUCAUAUGGUACACCCAGUUUCCCCCUUAUUUCUCUGCCAUCACAAAGAUGUAAAUGGUAAGUGGGACACUUUCAUUCUUAUUGGACUUAAAGGGGUUCCAGGGGGGGAAUUGGUCAUCUAGAGAAGCAUGCUUGCUCAGUGAACUUUGAUGGGUUCAAGGAAAAUUUUCAUGAAGCAACUUACAUCUUGAGAGGGAUUAAGAUGCUCCAGAUGCUGCUGUUGUAUUUGUCUUUUUUAUCAUUUGUCUUUCCUUUAUCUUCUUUCUAUUUUUGUCCGACUCAAGCUCUGCCACUUAUGGAUCUCAUUCUAUGAUGGAAAGAAUCCUAUUGGGAAAGUUGAGGACUGAUGAAAUAGGAGGGACACGUAGGGCUCUCGAACUGUUGUUCCCAUAUCUGGAUCUGCCUCUUCUCUUGUUAGUAUUGGUGCUAUUCCUGAAGUUUUUGGCUCUAGAUUAAUUGAUUAAGGAUCUUGAAUUGGAACACACUAUGGCUAUUUAAAGGGCUUCAAUAUAUAUGUAUAUAUAUUUGUUUUUUGUAUGGAACUGGUAAUGACAUUUUUUA